rnacentral:misc_RNA from 1 species
UAAGAAUCAAUUUUCAGGGUGUACAAAUUGAAUUGAUUAAAGAGAGCACAUUAGAACAAUGAAACUACAAAAUAACCCAACUCAACUAAGGACUUAAAACUUUCAAUGAUUAUAAUAUUAUAUUUUACCCAGUAUGUAAAAGAUGCAUAACAGAAACAUUCCUACCAACAGUUGGAAUGUUGAACAGCUGCUUAUGUGACAUAACAGUUGCAGAUUCGAAUUGCAAAUACUUUAGCAAGCAUAAAAA